GAAAUGCGAUACGUAGUGUGAAUUGCAGACUUCCGUGAAUCAUCGAAUCUUUGAACGCACAUUGCGCCCUCUGGUAUUCCGGAGGGCAUGCCUGUCUGAGCGUCAACUCAUCCUCAAACAUAUGUUUGGUCUUGGAAGACGAGAGUCUAUGGCCCUCGCUUCUGGAAACUAUUGGCAGUGGCUCACGCUUUCGCAACGUAGUAAGCACAUAUUCGUUGCAUUGUUUGCUUGAGAAGCUUGCCAUGAACCCAAAUUACUCAUGUUUGACCUCAGAUCAGGUAGGGAUACCCCCUGAACUUAA
rnacentral:misc_RNA from 1 species